UACGAAGGGGGCUAGCGUUGCUCGGAAUCACUGGGCGUAAAGGGCGCGUAGGCGGCGUUUUAAGUCGGGGGUGAAAGCCUGUGGCUCAACCACAGAAUGGCCUUCGAUACUGGGACGCUUGAGUAUGGUAGAGGUUGGUGGAACUGCGAGUGUAGAGGUGAAAUUCGUAGAUAUUCGCAAGAACACCGGUGGCGAGGGCGGCCAACUGGACCAUUACUGACGCUGAGGCGCGAAAGCGUGGGGAGCAAACAGG
rnacentral:rRNA from 1 species